CUCUUCCUGUUCAGGAUUCUGCAGCACAUUGAAAAUGAAUAUGAAGCUCUGAAGGAAGACUAUAAAACUUUGGAAGAGACAUGUCUUUCACCAAAUGCAACAAAGGCAUCUGAUAGGCGGAAACAUAACCUAAGGAAAAGAGAGAUUAAGCAAGG